CUGGAGCCCUCCUCUUUUACACCCAGCUGUUAGCCUGACCUUAUCUCUGCAGUUACACUGGGAUACCUUGGACAUGCACUUAGGAAGCCCCUGAGGGAAUUGCCCAAUGGAACCAGCACAGACCAGACACUGACGCUGCAGUCCAGCCAGAAGUGUCCCUUUGGAGGCCCUCUCUUCUCCUGCCUGCCUCUGGGGACUCCUCUGUGGAGAUUCCUUGAUGCAUUCCUUGCUUUCCCUCCUCCUGUGAAGUGCUUCCAUGGCUGCAUGUCUGCAGUUAAUGCCAGGGCACUGUUGCUGUGCUUUCAUGGACUGAGAGAAGAGCUCACCAUUUCUUUUUUUAAUCUCUUAGUCAUUCUCUGGCUGAUCUCUCUCUCACAGCUGCUUUGCAGGUUGUUGUGGUCCCAUGGAUCUCUGUCAAGCUUUUGUGAUGCAGCUGAACUGAAGUGACUUGGGACAGUCUGUUAAUUAGGUCUUCAAAGCCUUCUCCCUUUUUUCUUCACUGUACAAAUGUCCUUUUUUUCC